CAAGUAUUCAGCCCAAGUUUAUUACCACAGUGGACUCGGGUUAUAAUUACCAACAGAGGAGAGAAUAACUAUAAGUUAUUUUGAUGUAAAAAGCAUAUUAUCCUAAGCCAACAUAAUAACACAGUUUUUAUGAAGCACAAUAAUUACUUUGAAGACUCACAGAAGUGCAUUUUUCUAAAAGAAGGAGAUUCUCAUACAGAAACAGAUUAACAGAAACAGAAACAGCAACACUAGAGAACAGCAAAAUAGUAACAUUUCAAAUAGUAACAUUUCAAGAAAAUAUAUACACCUUCACAGUAUGUGGUGGUAUCCACUUACUGUCUACUGCCUCCAUAACUCCUAAAGUCUUCUGAAGCCUUUUCACAACUGGGAAUUCUUUAGAGAAAGGCAAUCUUACCUCAUUUACUUACUUCAUCAGUAAUGCCAUUACUAUGCCUACCUAAGAAGAAAAUAUAUCAUGUGGCAGAGGACUAGAAAGAAAAAACAACAACAAAAGGCUGUGAAGAUUUGAUCAUAUGCCUACGUGUGUGGUGAAUACAAUAUUUCUUUAAUCGCAAUCAGGAAUAUAAAUCUUAUUUUGAUGCUAUGACAUAAUAAAG
rnacentral:lncRNA from 10 species